UACGGAGGAUGCGAGCGUUAUCCGGAUUUAUUGGGUUUAAAGGGUGCGUAGGCGGCUUUUUAAGUCAGCGGUGAAAUUUUGCAGCUUAACUGUAACAGUGCCGUUGAUACUGGGGAGCUAGGAUUUGGUUGCUGUGGGUGGAAUGUGUGGUGUAGCGGUGAAAUGCUUAGAGAUCACACAGAAUAUCGAUUGCGAAGGCAGCUUACAAAGCCAAGAUUGACGCUGAGGCACGAAAGUGUGGGGAUCAAACAGGAUUAGA
rnacentral:rRNA from 1 species